GACAGAGGGUGCAAACGUUGCUCGGAAUUACUGGGCGUAAAGCGCGUGUAGGCGGCUUGGCAAGUCGGUUGUGAAAGCCCGGGGCCCAACCCCGGAACUGCAUCUGAAACUGCCUGGCUAGAGUCCCGGAGAGGAAGGCAGAAUUCCCGGUGUAGGGGUGAAAUCCGUAGAUAUCGGGAGGAAUACCAGCGGCGAAGGCGGCCUUCUGGACGGUGACUGACGCUGAGACGCGAAAGCGUGGGGAGCAAACAGG
rnacentral:rRNA from 1 species